AUGGCCAGCCCCUCUCUUGGGCCUCAGUUUCCUGAUCUGUCUGGACUAGGUGACUUGUCUGUGUGGGCAGUGGAUGGAACCCUUUCUCUUGGCCUCAUGGCACUCACUUCUGGCCCAAGAGGACUGAGAGGCCUUGCCCUCCCUACUCUCCAUGACCCUCAACACACAGGCCUUGAAGAGGGAGUGAGUCCUGCUCCAAACCUGGCAGAACGCCCUCCCUUUCCUGGCCUGCAAGGGCAGCCCUGCCACUGCCCGUUUCCUUUCCACAGGCUGGGCCACCACCAAGCCAGAACUCCUAGCCCCAGUGGAGAGAGGAGACCAGCAGGCAACUGCAGCCUGCCCAGUGUGGAGAGGGGCCAGACCCUGGGCACUGAUGAAGAAACUGAGGCACAGAGAGGCCGAAUCCACCGUCGAAGGUCCCAUAGCUGGAGGAAGCGCCCCUCACAUCCAUUACUCAGACCAGCCAUGGGGCACAUCUACUUCCAGGGAGGCCCAGAAACAUGGUCUGGAGUCUGGACGGCCGCGUGCCCAGCAGGACACUAAGUGCUCUAUGCAGGCCAGCUGGAAACACCCCCAGGAUUUCUGUCCUGGAUCAGGAGAGAGGAAGUGGGAGGAGCCAGCAGGGCGCACAGGAGACCACUGAGACACACCUCUGCUCAG
rnacentral:lncRNA from 1 species